rnacentral:ncRNA from 1 species
UACCUGGUUGAUCCUGCCAGUAGUCAUAUGCUUGUCUCAAAGAUUAAGCCAUGCAAGUCUAAGUACGAGCUCUCGUACAGUGAAACUGCGAAUGGCUCAUUAAAUCAGUUAUGGUUCAUUUGAUCGUACAGUUUACUUGGAUAACUGUGGUAAUUCUAGAGCUAAUACAUGCGAGAAGCGCCGACCUCGCGGGAGGCGUGCAUUUAUCAGACCAAAAACCGGCCGCGUCUUCGGGCGCGUUCGCCUUGGUGACUCUGGAUAACUUUGCGGAUCGCA